rnacentral:rRNA from 1 species
UGGGGAAUUUUGGACAAUGGGCGAAAGCCUGAUCCAGCAAUGCCGCGUGUGUGAAGAAGGCCUUCGGGUUGUAAAGCACUUUUGUCCGGAAAGAAAUCCUUGGCUCUAAUACAGUCGGGGGAGUGACGGUACCGGAAGAAUAAGCACCGGCUAACUACGUGCCAGCAGCCGCGGUAAUACGUAGGGUGCAAGCGUUAAUCGGAAUUACUGGGCGUAAAGCGUGCGCAGGCGGUUUGCUAAGACCGAUGUGAAAUCCCCGGGCGUCAACCUGGGAACUGCAUUGGUGACUGGCAGGCUAGAGUAUGGCAGAGGGGGGUGAGAAUUCCACGUGUAGCAGUGAAAUGCGUAGAGAUGUGGAGGAAUACCGAUGGCGAAGGCAGCCCCCU